AAGCGGUGAAUGCCUUGGUGCCAAGAGGCGAUGAAGGACGUGGUAAGCUGCGAUAAGUCACGGGGAGCUGCAAACAGGCUUUGAUCCGUGAAUUUCCGAAUGGGGAAACCCAUCCCGGUUUCCGGGAUGCCGCCGGAUGAAUUCAUAGUCCGUCGGCGCGAAACCCGCUGAAGUGAAACAUCUCAGUAAGCGGAGGAAAAGAAAACGAAGUGAUUCCGUAAGUAGUGGCGAGCGAAAGCGGAACAGCCUAAACCGGAAGGACUUGUCCUUUCGGGGUUGAGGGGACCUUGACGUGGGAGGCGUAAAGCGAGUCGAACGACUUGGAAGAGUCGGCCAGAGAGCGUGACAGCCGCUUAGACGAAGUAGAGCGCCCCCUAGAGGUAUCCCAAGUAGCGCGAUGCACGUGAAACUUUGCGCGAAUCCGUCCAGACCACUGGAUAAGGCUAAAAUAACUCCUUUGGCGAACCGAUAGUGAACUAGUACCGCGA
rnacentral:rRNA from 1 species